AGCGAACGCUGGCGGCGUGCCUAACACAUGCAAGUCGAACGUGAAAGGGAGCAAUCCCAAGUAAAGUGGCGUACGGGUGAGUAACACGUAGGUAAUCUACCCCAGAAUCUGGAAUAACCGGCCGAAAGGCUGGCUAAUACUGGAUAGAGCGACGGAAUCCGUAAUUGGGUUUUUCGGGAAAGGGAGCCUGUAAAAAGGCCUUCGUUCUGGGAUGAGCCUGCGUCCCAUCAGCUAGUUGGUGAGGUAAAAGCUUACCAAGGCAAUGACGGGUAGCUGGUCUGGGAAGACGGUCAGCCACACUGGGACUGGAACACGGUCCAGACUCCUACGGGAGGCAGCAGUGGGGAAUCUUGCGCAAUGGACGGAAGUCUGACGCAGCAACGCCGCGUGAGUGAAGGAGGCCUUCGGGUUGUAAAGCUCUGUCGAGUGGGACGGAAAUGCUUGGAGUUCACAGCUCCAGGAACUGACGGUACCACUAAAGGAAGCACCGGCUAACUCCGUG
rnacentral:rRNA from 1 species